GGUAUAGCGAUGAAGACAGAAUAUUUAUAAACACAUGUAUAGCAAGUUGCCGUUGAUGGAAGGGCAAUCAUAUCGUUUAUAAGGGGCGCUGUCUGAGCCAAGAACAAAUUAAAUGAAGCUGCCAAGAUUUUCUUGGAAGUAGGGUGGAACCGCGAUCUAAUCGUCCCUACA
rnacentral:misc_RNA from 1 species